AUCCUAAAUCCUAAUUCAAAUCUUAGACAAAUCCUAGAUAAAUCUUAGACAAAUCCUAAAUCUUAAACCAAAUCCUAAAUAAAUCUUAAAUCCUAAAUUAAAUCCUAAAACAGAUUAGAAUCCUAAUAUCUAUUAUUUAAACCAUUGAUCUUGCUUAAAAAUUUAUAAACCUCUUAACCUCUCUGUUAAAAAAUAAUACAAUAAAUUUGAAGAUAAUCAUACUUACUAAAUGGAAGGAAAACUCUAAAAUCCACUUGAUUAUUGGUCAACCUCCUACUCUAAUUUGAAUGUUCAACUUCUAGCACCAAUAUUUUUUUAAAAUUAUUCAAUUAUUUUUAAAUUUCACAUAUGUGUAGCAAAUUAAAGCUAUUACCCUCAUAUAUAAAUUUUAC
rnacentral:lncRNA from 1 species